rnacentral:pre_miRNA from 1 species
AUGUUACUCCCUCCGUCCCAAAAUUCUUGUCUUAACUUUGUCUAGAAAUGGAUUUAUCUAAAUACUAAAACUUGACUAGAUACAUUCAUCUAAACAAAUCUAAGACGAGAAUUUUGGGACGGAGGGAGUACUCU